rnacentral:rRNA from 1 species
GUGGCGGACGGGUUAGUAACGCGUGGGAAUAUGCCCCUGGGUAAGGAACAACAUCUGGAAACGGAUGCUAAUACCUUAUGAUGUCUACGGACCAAAGAUUUAUCGCCCAGGGAUUAGCCCGCGUUGGAUUAGGUAGUUGGAGGGGUAACGGCCCACCAAGCCUACGAUCCAUAGCUGGUUUGAGAGGAUGAUCAGCAACACUGGGACUGAGACACGGCCCAGACUCCUACGGGAGGCAGCAGUGGGGAAUCUUAGACAAUGGGGGAAACCCUGAUCUAGCCAUGCCGCGUGAUUGAUGAAGGCCUUAGGGUUGUAAAGAUCUUUCGCUGGGGACGAUAAUGACGGUACCCAGAGAAGAAGUCCCGGCUAACUUCGUGCCAGCAGCCGCGGUAAUACGAAGGGGACUAGCGUUGUUCGGAAUUACUGGGCGUAAAGCGCGUGUAGGCUGAUUAGUCAGUCAGGGGUGAAAUCCCAGGGCUCAACCCUGGAACUGCCUCUGAUACUGCUAGUCUUGAGACCGGUAGAGGUGAGUGGAAUUCCGAGUGUAGAGGUGAAAUUCGUAGAUAUUCGGAGGAACACCAGUGGCGAAGGCGGCUCACUGGACCGGUACUGACGCUGAGACGCGAAAGUGUGGGGAGCAAACAGGAUUA